GAUGAACGCUGGCGGCGUGCCUAAUACAUGCAAGUCGAGCGAACAGACGAGGAGCUUGCUCCUCUGACGUUAGCGGCGGACGGGUGAGUAACACGUGGAUAACCUACCUAUAAGACUGGGAUAACUUCGGGAAACCGGAGCUAAUACCGGAUAAUAUAUUGAACCGCAUGGUUCAAUAGUGAAAGACGGUUUUGCUGUCACUUAUAGAUGGAUCCGCGCCGCAUUAGCUAGUUGGUAAGGUAACGGCUUACCAAGGCAACGAUGCGUAGCCGACCUGAGAGGGGGAUCGGCCACACCGGAACUGGAACACGGUCCAGACUCCUACGGGAGGCAGCAGUAGGGAAUGUUCCGCAAUGGGCGAAAGCCUGACGGAGCAACGCCGCGUGAGUGGUGAAGGUCUUCGGAUCGUAAAACUCUGUUAUUAGGGAAGAACAAAUGUGUAAGUAACUAUGCACGUCUUGACGGUAACUAAUCAGAAAGCCACGGCUAACUACGUG
rnacentral:rRNA from 1 species